rnacentral:rRNA from 1 species
AUUGAACGCUGGCGGCAGGCUUAACACAUGCAAGUCGAGCGGGCGAGGUUGCUUCGGUAACUGAGCUAGCGGCGGACGGGUGAGUAAUGCUUAGGAAUCUGCCUAUUAGUGGGGGACAACAUUCCGAAAGGAAUGCUAAUACCGCAUACGUCCUACGGGAGAAAGCAGGGGAUCCUUUGACCUUGCGCUAAUAGAUGAGCCUAAGUCGGAUUAGCUAGUUGGUGGGGUAAAGGCCUACCAAGGCGACGAUCUGUAGCGGGUCUGAGAGGUUGGUCCGCCACACUGGGACGGAGACACGGCCCAGACUCCUACGGGAGGCAGCAGUGGGGAAUAUUGGACAAUGGGGGGAACCCUGAUCCAGCCAUGCCGCGUGUGUGAAGAAGGCCUUUUGGUUGUAAAGCACUUUAAGUGGGGAGGAGGCUUACCUGGUUAAUACCUGGGCUAAGUGGACGUUACCCACAGAAUAAGCACCGGCUAACUCUGUGCCAGCCGCCGCCGUAA